GAGGAAGGCAGCGGAGGAGGCGUAGAAGGGAAGGAACCAUCCUAGGCGCUCUCUAAUUGACGCCACCUGCAGAGCCACCUGCCGCUGCCCCAUCCUCCUGACUGCCUCUCCUUGUCUUCUAUUCUGUGAGGGAGAUGGAAAUAACUUCCUGUUCAAGCAUUGCAUCUAGUUCAUCCGUGAGGUUUGCCAGCAUAUUUCCAAUGUCAUUAAGGACAUCGCCUGUGCCAUCUGGAGAACUGUGAAAGAAAGUUUUUAUUAAAAAAUCAUUGCAUUUAAACAAUUAAACAAACAAUUGUCUUGUAUAACAACGAUACAAAAUAUUAAAUAAGAAGUUUUUGCAUUUGCUGUUAGUUCGUUCAGGUUUUGAGCAGAAUAAAAUGAGACGUUCAGGAGAAAAUAGUACAUGAUUCAAGAAGGAAGCCUGAAAUAUAGCAUCAUCUGUGAUUGCGAGGGGAGUAAGCCAAUCGAGAAGAGGACAAAAAAGCCAGAUCCCAAUUAAACAGCUAAGAAUGUUAAGAACUAAAUGAGUCAACCAACAGUAAAAUAAAAAAAAUUGCCCAAGACAGCUUCACAAAAAAAAAUAUCGACUAUACUGUAACUGUAAAACAAGAGAGGUUCCGCCAAAGUCAAAGUACUGUAUAGUAGGUGACAAUACAGUAUUAGGCAUCAAAUGGCAAUCCACAAAAAGCCAAGAAAGAAACGACAUAACAAUCACCACAGACACAGAAUAAAUGCUGAAGAGGAAAAGAUGGAAGGCCUGCUAAGUAGCCUCAUAUGGUUGUCAAGGAAAGAUGCAAAUGUGACACUGAAAGAUCUGUCACCUGACUGGCAUAAACAGAUCUUCCCAAGUGAGCUGUGUCAUCUGCUCCACAGAUGUGUACUUCUGUUGCCUUAGUGAAGCUGUGUAUUCCUCAAGCCGCAAAAUUGAUAACCAAUCCUCCAAACGACCCUGAAGAUAAAAUUACAAAGCAUU